rnacentral:rRNA from 1 species
CCUACGGGCGGCAGCAGUAGGGAAUCUUCCACAAUGGGCGAAAGCCUGAUGGAGCAACGCCGCGUGGGUGAAGAAGGUCUUCGGAUCGUAAAACCCUGUUGUUAGAGAAGAAAGUGCGUGAGAGUAACUGUUCACGUUUCGACGGUAUCUAACCAGAAAGCCACGGCUAACUACGUGCCAGCAGCCGCGGUAAUACGUAGGUGGCAAGCGUUAUCCGGAUUUAUUGGGCGUAAAGGGAACGCAGGCGGUCUUUUAAGUCUGAUGUGAAAGCCUUCGGCUUAACCGGAGUAGUGAAUGGGAAAGUGGGGGACGUGAGGGCAGAAGAGGAGAGUGGAACUCCAGGGGUAGCGGUGAAAUGCGUAGAUAUAUGGAAGAACACCAGUGGCGAGAGCGGCUCUCUGGUCUGUAACUGACGCUGAGGUUCGAAAGCGUGGGUAGCAAACAGGAUUAGAUACCCCAGUAGUC